rnacentral:rRNA from 1 species
AGGGAAUCUUCCACAAUGGACGAAAGUCUGAUGGAGCAACGCCGCGUGAGUGAAGAAGGUUUUCGGAUCGUAAAACUCUGUUGUUGGAGAAGAACGUAUUUGAUAGUAACUGAUCAGGUAGUGACGGUAUCCAACCAGAAAGCCACGGCUAACUACGUGCCAGCAGCCGCGGUAAUACGUAGGUGGCAAGCGUUGUCCGGAUUUAUUGGGCGUAAAGCGAGCGCAGGCGGUUUCUUAAGUCUGAUGUGAAAGCCUUCGGCUCAACCGAAGAAGUGCAUCGGAAACUGGGAAACUUGAGUGCAGAAGAGGACAGUGGAACUCCAUGUGUAGCGGUGAAAUGCGUAGAUAUAUGGAAGAACACCAGUGGCGAAGGCGGCUGUCUGGUCUGUAACUGACGCUGAGGCUCGAAAGCAUGGGUAGCAAACAGGAUUAGAUACCCUGGUAGUCCAUGCCGUAAACGAUGAGUGCUAGGUGUUGGAGGGUUUCCGCCCUUCAGUGCCGCAGCUAACGCAUUAAGCACUCCGCCUGGGGAGUACGACCGCAAGGUUGAAACUCAAAGGAAUUGACGGGGGCCCGCACAAGCGGUGGAGCAUGUGGUUUAAUUCGAAGCAACGCGAAGAACCUUACCAGGUCUUGACAUCCUUUGACCACUCUAGAGAUAGAGCUUUCCCUUCGGGGACAAAGUGACAGGUGGUGCAUGGUUGUCGUCAGCUCGUGUCGUGAGAUGUUGGGUUAAGUC